rnacentral:rRNA from 1 species
AUUGAACGCUGGCGGCAUGCUUUACACAUGCAAGUCGAACGGUAACAGGCCUUCGGGUGCUGACGAGUGGCGAACGGGUGAGUAAUGCAUCGGAACGUACCCAGAGGUGGGGGAUAACGCAGCGAAAGCUGUGCUAAUACCGCAUGUGAUCUGAGGAUGAAAGCGGGGGACCGAGCAGCAAUGUUUGGCCUCGCGCCUUUGGAGCGGCCGAUGUUGGAUUAGCUAGUUGGUGGGGUAAAGGCCUACCAAGGCGACGAUCCGUAGCUGGUCUGAGAGGACGACCAGCCACACUGGGACGGAGACACGGCCCAGACUCCUACGGGAGGCAGCAGUGGGGAAUUUUGGACAAUGGGCGCAAGCCUGAUCCAGCAAUGCCGCGUGCGGGAAGAAGGCCUUCGGGUUGUAAACCGCUUUUGGCAGGAACGAAACGGUGUCCGCUAAUACCGGGCGCUAAUGACGGUACCUGCAGAAUAAGCACCGGCUAACUACGUG